rnacentral:rRNA from 1 species
GGGUUAAGUCCCGCAACGAGCGCUAACCCCUAUUGUUAGUUGCCAUCAUUCAGUUGGGCACUCUAGCGAGACUGCCGGUAAUAAACCGGAGGAAGGUGGGGAUGACGUCAAAUCAUCAUGCCCCUUAUGACCUGGGCUACACACGUGCUACAAUGGUUGGUACAACGAGUUGCGAGUCGGUGACGGCGAGCUAAUCUCUUAAAGCCAAUCUCAGUUCGGAUUGUAGGCUGCAACUCGCCUACAUGAAGUCGGAAUCGCUAGUAAUCGCGGAUCAGCACGCCGCGGUGAAUACGUUCCCGGGCCUU